UUAGGAAUAUUGGACAAUGGGGGGAACCCUGAUCCAGCCAUGCCGCGUGAGUGAAGAAGGCCUUCGGGUUGUAAAGCUCUUUUGGAUGGGAAGAUGAUGACGGUACCAUCAGAAUAAGCACCGGCAAACUUCGUGCCAGCAGCCGCGGUAAUACGAAGGGUGCAAGCGUUGUUCGGAAUUACUGGGCGUAAAGGGCGCGUAGGCGGAUAUAUUAGUCAGGAGUGAAAUCCCGGGGCUCAACCUCGGAACUGCUUUUGAAACGGUAUAUCUAGAGACUGAUAGGGGACAAUGGAAUACCCAGUGUAGAGGUGAAAUUCGUAGAUAUUGGGUGGAACACCGGAGGCGAAGGCGAUUGUCUGGGUCAGUACUGACGCUGAGGCGCGAAAGCGUGGGGAUCAAACA
rnacentral:rRNA from 1 species